rnacentral:rRNA from 1 species
CCAGUUCGGAGUCUUACCUUUCAUGCAGCAGAAUUGGGAUGGUUGAGUAUCUCGCCUCUCAGUUCUGCCUGUAUUCUACCCUUGUUUGUCACAUACUAUUAUUUCCUCGGCAGGCUUGCCUGCCGAGUGAAACCAUUUAUAACCUUUUUAAUUUUCAAUCAGCGUCUGAAAAAAUUAAUAAUUACAACUUUCAACAACGGAUCUCUUGGUUCUGGCAUCGAUGAAGAACGCAGCGAAAUGCGAUAAGUAGUGUGAAUUGCAGAAUUCAGUGAAUCAUCGAAUCUUUGAACGCACAUUGCGCCCCUUGGUAUUCCAUGGGGCAUGCCUGUUCGAGCGUCAUUUGUACCUUCAAGCUUUGCUUGGUGUUGGGUGUUUGUCCCGAGGGACUCGCCUUAAAGUAAUUGGCAGCCAGUGUUUGGUUUUGAAGCGCAGCACAAGUCGCGGUUCAAGGCUACACGCCCGCUUCCACAAGCCUUUUUUCACUUUUGACCUCGGAUCAGGUAGGGAUACCCGCUGAACUUAAGCAUAUCAAUAAGCGGAGGAAA